GCUUUAUUUUUGUUGUUUUUGUUGUUUUUUGUUUUUUUUUACGCCAUCCGUCUCCUGCGCUGCUUUUGCAGCAUCGCGUUUUGCUCGCUUGAAUUAAUGAUCGCGUUGUAGGGUUAGGGAAAAUAACGAGUGUUUAAAAGUUUAUACUGAGUCAUUCCUCUGCAGAUGAACCUAUGACUGACUCAUAAUCUGAGAACUGCAGUGGCUUGUAAAAUAGGAAGGGAGAAGGUUUUGAUGUUAAGAGAAGAGGUACUUGGAUAUUUGUACUGAAUCAGAGUUCUUUGUGGCUGGGCUGGGAAACCCCUUUAAUACAGCCUGAUAACGGAAACACUGAUGUGUCAUGAGUUUGGGCACUGCAAGCAGACUGCACUGGGAGGUUAUAAAAGUUGCUUCAGUACAGCAUGAGAAUGGUAGGUGUUUUACUGAAAUCUGACAUUGAUUCAGAGCUUCCAACGGUAGCUUUACCUACGAUGUAGAAAGGUGAAAUACAUUCAGUAUCAGAGCAAAUUAAUUCUCCUUCA
ensembl:lncRNA